GGCCUGGCCGUGCCACGGAAAUAAAGCCUGAAACGGCAAUCACGAAGCGACGCCCUGCCUGUGCUGGGGCUGCCCCGCAGAGGCGUGGGGCCGGGCCUUCCGCAGGUCCCGAGCACUCCCCAAAACUGCGUGUGGGGCCGCGGGGGUGCAGGGCUGUGGGGUGGCUACGCUCGGCGUCGCCCGUGGGUGCUGCAGGGUCAGAAAUGGAGAACAAGUUUUCUGUUCCUGGGGCUUGAAAACAGGCUCGCGCGGCUGAUUUUGGGGCUCGGAAACAGACCGAGCUGCGCGGCUUUGGGCCCAGAAGCAGAGGUCCGGCCCUGCGGUUUUGGACAUUGAGAACAGGCUCAGCAGCCGGGCUUUUUGGCUCCCAAACGGGCCCCGAGUCAGCCGGUGUGGGGGCCAAAAGCGGAAGCCGGCUUGGCUGGUUUGGCAGGCGGGUGGGAGGGUCUUGGGGUCUGUGGGGGGAAGCAGGGGGUGGGCAGGGUGCGUGGACCCUCCCCAGAGAUGGGGGUCUGGUUGUGUCGGACGCCGAAGUUCGGGAGGCCGGUGCGCAGCAGGCCGAACUCAACCUCUGCGAUGGUCUGUGGGGGGAAAGGCGCUUUUCAGACCCCACGUGCCCUCUUUGAGUCCAGCUCUUCUUUCUGCGCUGCUCAGAAUAGUCGUUAAGUAAUUAAUCGCACAAACUAACGAAUAUUUAUAGGGUGUGUAACUCUGAUGUUUAAUCCUAAUGCUCCAGUUUUGACAGCAGUUGAUAUACAACCUUAUCGAAAGCCCAGGCCGUUGCACAAAGCUGGAGCUUGUGAGGAGAAGCAGCUGAAAUCAGCCGGAGCUUUAGUGCGGAGCUGGGGCUUCAGUGAGCCAGAACUGUAGCAAGCGGGAGCUGGAACGAGGCGGGGUGUCCGCUGUCCGGAGCGUGCAUUAGCCAGAGGCAAAAGUACCUGCGGCUGUAACGAGCAGGAGCCGCGAUUAGCUGGAGCGUCUUUUCGCUGGAGCGUCUGUCGGCCGGACCGCGCUCCCAGCGCAGGCAGGGCUGUCUGCAGCGAGCAGCUCCGAGCAGCAGGGAGUGUCACCUUCCGCGUCACACGAAGAAAAUCCUGCGUGGUUAAUUCCGCUUGCUGCUCAGGUAAUCACACGUAUCGGGCCGGGGGAGCAGAGAGAAACACUUGCGAGUUUGAGGGCACUACAGAUGCUCCACGUUAAACCCACAGAAAAGGCAAAUUUGCUGCUAGUGCAGAAAAGCUGAUGGAAAAAUUGCUGUUAACAGAUCGUGCUCUGUUCCUGAACCGGUCCCUUGAUAUGUUUUUGCUUCAGGUGAAAGAACGAAAUUUCAUGUCUGGUAAAUUCAGAGCUGCCUGUUAGCUUCUUUAGGGUCGAGUGUUUCUCUUCUCUCUGUUCAUACGGAUUUUAUGGGCAAGUU